GACAGAGGGUGCAAACGUUGUUCGGAAUUACUGGGCGUAAAGCGCGUGUAGGCUGCUCUGUAAGUCAGGUGUGAAAGCCCUGGGCUCAACCUAGGAAGUGCACUUGAAACUACAGAGCUGGAGAUCUGGAGAGGAAGGCGGAAUUCUCGGUGUAGAGGUGAAAUUCGUAGAUAUCGAGAGGAACACCGGUGGCGAAGGCGGCCUUCUGGACAGCAUCUGACGCUGAGACGCGAAAGCGUGGGGAGCAAACAGG
rnacentral:rRNA from 1 species